rnacentral:misc_RNA from 1 species
AAGUCGUAACAAGGUUUCCGUAGGUGAACCUGCGGAAGGAUCAUUAACAGAUUCUGCUAGUCCCAGAAAUCUUACCCCACGUGCAAUGUAAUCUGAAUUGGUGUCAAAGCACUGGACCCGGCAUUACCCGAACGUCUUUAGGGUACCUUGUCGGUCUAAGUCUAGGCACCAUCAUUUUACACUCUGUUCUGUAUGCAGAGAAAAAACAAAAGACUAGAAAACUUUUAGCAACGGAUCUCUAGGCUCUU